AAGUCGUAACAAGGUUUCCGUAGGUGAACCUGCGGAAGGAUCAUUAAAGUGUUUCGGAGCCUGGCUCGGGCAUCUCAACUCGAGGUGUCGGUGCCAGCGCCCCCACACGUGUUUACUCAACUUGGUUGCCUUGGUGAGCCUGCCCUCGUGGCUGCCGGGGAUGCCUCACGGCGUUCCGGGCUCGUGCUCACCAGUGGAACAUCUGAACUCUUAUGUGAAAAUAGUCAGUCUGAGCAUUAUGCAAAUUAAAUAAAACUUUCAACAACGGAUCUCUUGGUUCCG
rnacentral:misc_RNA from 1 species